GUCCCGGCGGCGGCGGCGGCGGAGGCGCGGCGGCGGGCGGCUGCCGUGAGGUCCUCUCCGGGCGGGCGGAGGGGCCGCUCGCUCAGGUCGCGCGCUGGCCCCGCGCUAGCGGCCCGUCCUGGUGGGCGGAACUCCCGGGGACGGCUUAAGGCUGCCUCUACGAUUUCUUUUAAGCUGGCCCUGGCUCCCUGCACCGCGCCUCUGCCCAGGAGGAGGUUUGAACGCUGUCUGGGUUUAGGGACAUUUCCUGCAUCCGCUCUUUCCCGCAGGGCGCCAGAUCUGCAGCUUCUGGGUCUGGCCCUCUUCCACCGUGCUAGCCUGCAGUUUGCUGAAGGAACACCAGCCUUGUAGCCGACCACCUAAUAACGCUGCUACACAGACAUACCUGAGUGACUGUCACCGCGUCCCAGCAAGGCUGACACUGUGUCAUCUGCCUCUCACCACUGGAAGGAUUUUCCAAAAGUGGACAGUGGACCGGACCCCUCCUCAAAGCCCCAGGUGGAAUCCAGACACUCAAACUUACCCAGGAAUCCCUGACUCUUCUGGACCCGACGCCCACCCACACGACACCCCAUCUUUCUUCAUUGCUUCCCACAUUGCUCUCCACUGCUUGCCUUCCAGGCCCUCAGCCCUGGCGUUAGGUCAAGUCACUGCCCUCGCGUACCAGAACACGUUACUCCUGCCUGGAGGGAGGCGGCUCUUGUCUGCUUUGACUAAAGUCCGCAAUAUGGUUCCCUGGCGACUGUUCAGCACAAAGCCAUGUGCUUGGCCUCCGGAUCCAAGUCACCUCUGGCAGUCAGACCUUCCCUGAGUUCUGCUUCAUUCUUACAGGGUGAUGGCUCUCCAGGGACCUGGAGCUUGUCUUAUUCCGGACUGUGUUCCCUGGAUGGAAGGGGUAACCUGGGAUCAUGGCUCUUCAGGCAUAAGUCCUAGGUCUACCGCAUCUAGCCAUCUUCCAGAUAGCCAAGCAGGCUUCCGUUGCUGCCAGCUCCUAUUCAAGAGGAUAUUGAUAAGUUUGUAAGCUGAAGGACUUCCUGAGACCCUUGUCACCCAACACUCAGAGACAGUGUGGUCCAGCAAGAAGGACUGGACAUAGUUAUAGAUCACGGCUGUAGAGAGAACAUCAUCCCUCAGGCCAGAAUACCCGAUUCCUGAGUGUGCUCACAGUCUACCCACGUGUGCAUGUUGUCCUGUAGAGAAGACUGUGUGCUGUGAGCCUUCUGAGCCCGCCUUAUUGACUUCACAUUAUGUCUUGGAGCUUAUUGUACAUCGAUCUGUAAAAAUCAACUCUGUUCUUGGUAAUGGUUAAAUAACAACACUCCAUUAUGAA